GUGAGGAAUUUUGGUCAAUGGGGGAAACCCUGAACCAGCGACGCCGCGUGCGGGAUGAAGGAGCUUUGCUCUGUAAACCGCUGUCGGGAGGGAAGAAAAGCCGGGUCGCCCGGCUGGGACAGUACCUCCAAAGGAAGGAUCGGCUAACUACGUGCCAGCAGCCGCGGUAAUACGUAGGAUCCAAGCGUUGUCCGGAUUUACUGGGUGUAAAGGGUGCGCAGGCGGAUUUGUGCGUCAGAGGUUAAAGACUUCGGCUUAACCGAAGAAAUGCCUUUGAUACGGCAAGUCUUGAGUACGAGAGAGGAUGAUAGAAUUCUUGGUGUAGCGGUGAAAUGCGUAGAUAUCAAGAGGAAUACCAGUGGCGAAGGCGGUCAUCUGGCUCGUAACUGACGCUCAGGCACGAAAGCGUGGGGAGCAAACAGGAUUAGAAACCCUGGUAGUCC
rnacentral:rRNA from 1 species